rnacentral:rRNA from 1 species
GCAGCCGCCGCGGUAAUACGAAGGGUGCAAGCGUUAAUCGGAAUUACUGGGCGUAAAGCGUGCGUAGGCGGUGAGUUAAGUCUGCUGUGAAAUCCCCGGGCUCAACCUGGGAAUGGCAGUGGAUACUGGCUCGCUAGAGUGUGUCAGAGGAUGGUGGAAUUCCCGGUGUAGCGGUGAAAUGCGUAGAGAUCGGGAGGAACAUCAGUGGCGAAGGCGGCCAUCUGGGACAACACUGACGCUGAGGCACGAAAGCGUGGGGAGCAAACAGGAUUAGAUACCCCCGUAGUCCCUGUCUCUUAUAC